GGAGGUUUGUCCUUUAAAAAUCAAACUGCCAUGGAAACUGCUUUACCUGAAAUUUUGGUUCACAGCCUUCCUUGCAUAAUCUAUUGGGGCAAACAAAGUAAAACCAGCAAAAUGGCAUUGCUAUCUCAUGGCUAGGAUUCUAAGGAAAACAAUUAAAGCUUCAGAUAUAUGUGAUCACCUGAUGGACCACUCAAAUAUUUUAUAAAGGGAUUUCAUUCAAUUUUUACCUUCAAUGCAUGUUUUCUGGUUAUAUAAAUGCUCUCCCACACAAGAGGGCUGAUGUUAUAACACUAAGUUAUUAUGCCACAGUGCAUUUUCAUCUGGUAAAGAAAGCUUUUUAUGAUUCACUGAAGACAAUCAAGCCUUUCACAAUCUAGAACCCAAAAAUUGGAUCUUCUGAGAACAUCAGAGAAAGACUGUCCUUGCCAUCCACAUUGCAGCCAAAGUUUGGAAACUUGAACUUUGGGUUCAUAAUCUCACAACUAAGAAGUGUCCCUCCACACUCAUGGAACUGUACACCCGUUGGAACCCUUAAGAGACCGUCAAGCUUCAUAUGAUCAUGCGACAGGGGUUCCAGCCAGUUCCAGGUAAAGACACCACCCCUGGCCGUCAUGGAGCUACCCUGCCUUCACUAGACAGAGCAUGGCAAGAGUUCUGUGAUCUCCAAUAGGUAGUGACUAUGCCCCAAGCCAGCAUGAAGCAGUCACAGAAGAAAGAGCACCAGAUCCGCCACCUCCCAUAAAGAUUUAUGGAGAUUACAUCUUUCAGGGGGGAAAUGAGGAAGGAGAAUAGGGCCUGGAGACAGGGAACCUAAAGACUUCCUAGAAUGAAAUCAAAUGGAAACACAUCAGCUAUUUCGGGAAAUAUCCUCUUUACUUACAUAGGGCAUAUACCAAGUUACCAAUGGAAAUGUCUAGAGGGUAUUUAAACCCCAGAAAAUACAGUAACAGAGCUCUUGAGCCCCUAUGCUCAGGCCCAUUCCCACCCUAUGGAAUGUACUUUCAUUUACAAUAAAUCUCUGUUUUUGCUGCUUUA